GCUUAGAGGAGCUGCCUGUGAGAAACAUCGAGGAGUUGUGAUGUGCUUCAUGAUGGAGUCCAGCCUGAGCAAGGCAUGACUCUUUUACUGCAGUUGUGGACAAGAUCCAAAAGAAGCCAGGUCACCAUUGCUGCUCUCCUUCCCAUGCCUCCCCUCAGCUCUGUUAAGUGUCUGCCCUGCUGGGAGUACCUGCUGGUGACUCUCAUCACUGUGGUUAAGGAGUAGAAUGGGAGGGGACAUUUUUUACUUCAUGAAGACAUUUUGCUUUCCUGCUGCAUACUUCUAAUCUCUGCUGUUCCUUGAGCAAAACAGUGUGACUGGUAUGGCAUAAUUCAAAGUGAAUUUAAAAUUUCUGAAGUCAAAUGUUUUCUGAAAAGAUCUGUUUUGAAGCAAUUUGGCAAAGCUGACAUAACCAU